GAAGAAGAUCAAAUCCACAAACAGGUUGCUCAAACGCAAUUGAUAUCUUAGAGGCCAUAUUUUUUUCUUCCUCUGAAAGAUUGGUGAUAAACCUAAUUUCCUUACCAUGUGGAUUCCUUCUCACAAUUCCGUCCACUACGGGUGAUUUGCGGGUUUCUGCAUGGCUGUAAUGAGGACCCACGGUAUAAACCUUUACGUCUUCCGCGUUAUCGACAUUCAUGAAUUCCUCGUAAAUAAAAGAUCCUUCAGUGCGUGGAGCACAAAGAUCUGGAUCAUAAUCUGAAGACUUAUUUGCGACUUUACGAAAUAAUUUGCGACCUCCCCCACCAACGGAUUUAGGGAAAUAAAUAUAAAUAUUGUGAUCUUCACCAUAGACUGGUUUUUCAACGUACGGCUUCUUUAUUAUCUUGCCAUCAACAGAAAGAGUAUCUUCGUCCAACAUUUUUACUUCUGGGGUAGGAACCUCUGUGAUUUCUAUUCCAAACUUUCGACGCAACUUUUCUUCUAGGACUUUAUUAAUUUUAGGACCUCCAUCACGAGAGCAAAUCAAACGCUGAGGGGUGGAAACACGUAUGGCAUCAAGGAUGUUCAACACAAGCCGUCUAUCCCAAAGCAACUCUUGGAAUACUACAUCGUUUACACAAAAAGGUUUACGCAACUCGACAUACUUUUCAGCUUUCUUCAAUGGAAAUCCACUAGAGUAGAAACAUAUCAAAUAAUCACAAGCAGGCCAAUUUUCCACAGCUUCGUCCAAAAUCAUGUUGUCACCGAAUACUAUGGCUUCAAACUCACCUUCUGCGAUGAUUCUGUUCAGAAUAUUCCGACAUGGUUUUGAGCGAGCUUUGGCAUCCAUGGCACAGAUUCCAACUACAUUUCGUUUAGUAGGUGUAACGAUUGAGGAAACAGGCGACGCCGUUCUGGUAGAUGACUCUGUGUCGAUAGAUGUAAGAUGACUUGCAUUUUGAAUCAUCCUUUAUUAUUCAACUACGUUAAAAUAUUUAAUAACGCUUAAAACACCUUUUUCCCACUUGUAUUCUUUCAAUGGCCAAUUCCCUCACUUGUUUGGUUAUGAGAGAUGUAGGUACACGGUGUUAGUACACACCUAGUCGAUCAAUGUUACUUGUACGGUUAACCUUACAAUUCAGCGAGGUAACAUUUGUUUACCUAACGAAAUGUAAAUAAAUAAGAAAUUGUUGCUUAAAUGAAGUGGACAGUGAAUAUUGAAUUUGUUUCGCAGUAAUGCUUCUAUGAAUAACUUUUUUACUAAUUAUACUGGGUUAGUUAAUUUGGGUUUUCAUAAAAAUUUUUUU